GGAUGCGAGGGCAAUGUGGCUGUGACACCUGUCACCCCAUUGAUCGCCAGGGUUGAUUUGGCUCAUCUGUCUGGCUAACCGGGUGUCCCCUUCCUCCUGAAUAUUCCAUGUGCAUCCUUCCUAAACCUGUGCACUCAGUGGAAGAGUACUACCACCCCCGAUAGAGGACCGCUCCUCAGUCAAGGGUAUGGGAGUACCUGCACUCCCCUGCUAGAACCUCCAAACAAGCUCUCAAAUGUUAGGUCACAGAGUGAUACAUGUUGGGGAAAAAAAGAAAGCAAUAGGAAAUAAAAAGUCAAUUUUCUUCUGUUCUUUAUUGGAAAUGCAUCAUAUUUGA
rnacentral:snRNA from 1 species